rnacentral:hammerhead_ribozyme from 1 species
AUCUAACUGAACAGUCCCAAAAAGGAUGAAACUCGCGUCCUGGAU